rnacentral:misc_RNA from 1 species
CCCCGGUGGAAAACCCCAAGCGUAGAUUGUUAUCACACCUAUGGUGCCACCAAACACUGGUAGGCUGAUUCAUUUGAGAGGAGCUGACCAAAUGGGCCAGCAAACCCCCAAAGUCCAAGCUCAUCAUAGAAGACCAUGAGGAGUUGAGGUGUUCAUGAUACUCAAACAGGCAUGCCCUUCGGAAUGGCCAAAGGGCGCAA